GGCGGUUUGUUAAGUCAGAUGUGAAAUCCCCGGGCUCAACCUGGGAACUGCAUCUGAUACUGGCAAGCUUGAGUCUCGUAGAGGGGGGUAGAAUUCCAGGUGUAGCGGUGAAAUGCGUAGAGAUCUGGAGGAAUACCGGUGGCGAAGGCGGCCCCCUGGACGAAGACUGACGCUCAGGUGCGAAAGCGUGGGGAGCAAACAGGAUUAGAUACCCUGGUAGUCCACGCCGUAAACGAUGUCGACUUGGAGGUUGUGCCCUUGAGGCGUGGCUUCCGGAGCUAACGCGUUAAGUCGACCGCCUGGGGAGUACGGCCGCAAGGUUAAAACUCAAAUGAAUUGACGGGGGCCCGCACAAGCGGUGGAGCAUGUGGUUUAAUUCGAUGCAACGCGAAGAACCUUACCUGGUCUUGACAUCCACGGAAGUUUUCAGAGAUGAGAAUGUGCCUUCGGGAACCGUGAGACAGGUGCUGCAUGGCUGUCGUCAGCUCGUGUUGUGAAAUGUUGGGUUAAGUCCCGCAACGAGCGCAACCCUUAUCCUUUGUUGCCAGCGGUCCGGCCGGGAACUCAAAGGAGACUGCCAGUGAUAAACUGGAGGAAGGUGGGGAUGACGUC
rnacentral:rRNA from 1 species